GGCCACUACAGAGGUAUUUUCGAAACAUACUAUUUGGAUUAUUAUUAUCAUUUUACAGCAGAGGUAGUUCCACCCUUGCUCUCCUUAGUCAAGAGUUUAUCUUUAAUUGAUCGGUUUUCUCAAAUAGUUCACCAAUGCAGAUACGUGAUUUUGUACAUGAGCUAGAAAUAGUAGUUCUUAUUGCAGAUUGAAGUGAAAGUAUUUUUUGCUAAGGUUUUCUAAUGCUAAUUCUUGUAAUUUUCUUCUCUAUUUCAGACGCGUGGAUUGUGCGGGAUAGCGUGACCAAAGAAUGGGGUUUGGAGGGUCAUUUUCUGGUUAGAAAAGGAAGAUGUGGGGUAGGUCUUCAGACUUACAAGAUCGACGGACUAACGCAGAUGCCCGAUCCUAGAAAACGCCCGAUCAGCCAAGUGUCGUCAGAUGCAGGGGCUUUUUCUUCGAGUAAAAGAGUUGCGGUCAAAUAAGGGUCAUACCCGUGCCCUGAAGAGACAAGUCAUUGAGAUUCCUUCGGAAUCAGAAACAAGCAGUUCCGACGCCAAAUCGUUGGAGGGCGCUUCUUUAACACUGCGAGUUUAGUUCACUAGACCCUCUGCCAGGCAGCGCUGACGUCACCGCUAACUACAGUUGAGGGUCCUCAUUUAUUCUCUUGGUCCAUGACUUAACCUCAAACCUUCAGCCCAAAGCCGCAAACAGCUGACGCUUGACAAUGCUGCGCCAAGAAAAUGAACCAAUCACAACAUAGUACAGUAAUACGUUACUAAAAUGAAGAGAUCACGUGACUGUUCGUAAUUUUUUCAAAUUCGACCUGAAAGUACUGCUUCGGAUAUAAGCAUUUAAGCAUAACGAGGCCCUCAAAUAAUUUAACCAGGUAAUACGUCCGUGCGCGGAUUUUAUGUUAAAAGCAAAACAUUUCACGAACAUUUUUACAAUUACCAGAGAAGAACAAAAUACAAAUUUUACCGCGUGGACCAGAAUGGCGGCAUUACCCACAAGGGAAAAGGUUAUGUUUUAUAGUACAUGUUACAUCCGGAGACCCGAACGGCUGGAAAGUAAAAAAAUCGUAAAAAAGUAACAAAAUCGGAAAAAGUGCAUUACGUAAUGCUUGAACGGCCCCGUGCGGCGUGCGGCGUUCUUGAGUGGUACGACUCGAGGUUUGCCGCCUGCUAGCUUAAUCAAAUGACGUUCGAGCUGCGAAUUGGAGGCGCAAAAUCCCCAUUCGGGUUGGGCGGCCCAGUUAGCGCAAGUUGGAAGCACAUCGGAGUCGUCCGGUUUCACCCUUAUGUUGUGUCUCGAAUCAAAGUUGGUGAUUUAAAACUCAUGGUGAAAGGUUUCAUUGUACCAGGAAUGGAGAUGUUGCAUGUUUGAGGAAUUUGCGAUUUGACUAUUCAUUCUUAGGUAAAAGUUCGCGAGAAACACGAAGGUACCACUGCUUUUCUCUGAGAUCAACUCCCAAGCUCAAAAAAGCUCUCGAUUUGAGGCCAAAAUGGAGGGGAUAUCCCACGCUAUCCUCAGAGUCCACCUCUACAUCAAGACAAACUCUCCAUGCAAAGAUAGGGAGCAAAUACAUUGACUUUAUUUGGGGACUCUAAAACUGAAAACAUGGCAUCACUGCUAAUGUAUUUGCCAGUUUGUCUUGAUAUAGAAGUGGACUCUCAGGAUAGCGU
rnacentral:lncRNA from 1 species